GCAGCUCGCGUAGUGGCUGUUCGGUUUCAUAGACGGUCCUUUUCUUUUCCUACCACCCCCGCCUCCUCCUCCUCUCCCUCGGAGGCUGGUUCUGCUGCUCAUGACGUGCCUCUCUCGCUGAGCUCCCAGCCCUCCCGCCUUCCAGCUCACUCCCUGCUGCUGCAGCUUAUUACUAUUUGCUUUUUCCCCUCCCCACCACCGCUUUCCGAGGAGGGGGACGGGUUUUUUUUUGCCCCCUUACACCUAGAGAAGAGAGGGGGGGGGGAGAAACCGAGGGAAUCAAGGCGCUGCAUUGUUCCACCCCGCCUCCAUUUAUUUUCUUUUUGUAAUUUUUUUUUUAUUGCAAAGGAGGCUCGGAGCAGCCUUUGAUUGUCCUCGCCCGAUGAACCUCUCCUCGGCCAGCGACACGUCUUGACUCCGGAUUACUCAGGGGGGAGAAAAAAAAGAGAACAAGAAUGCACAUUAAGUACAUUGGAUCUACAGUAGCAUGAACUGAAUGCUGUUGGAUGAAUGGAAAAACAGUCAUGAUAUUGUAAUAUCACAGCAAAGAGAAUCACCAGUAUCCAACAAGCAUCUGAACAGAGAUAACACAAUCUAGGACAUUAACUGGAGACAGGGUAA